rnacentral:rRNA from 1 species
ACUCAAAUGAAUAGACGGGGGCCCGCACAAGCAGUGGAGUAUGUGGUUUAAUUCGAAGCAACGCGAAGAACCUUACCAGGGCUUGACAUGGGGACGACUGCGCUGGAGACAGCGCUUUCUUUCGGGACGUCCCACACAGGUGGUGCAUGGUUGUCGUCAGCUCGUGUCGUGAGAUGUUGGGUUAAGUCCCGCAACGAGCGCAACCCUUACGGUUAGUUGCUACGCAAGAGCACUCUAGCCGGACUGCCGUUGACAAAACGGAGGAAGGCGGGGACGACGUCAAAUCAUCAUGCCCCUUAUGUCCUGGGCUACACACGUACUACAAUGGCGGUCAUACAGAGGGAAGCAAGACAGCGAUGUGGAGCAAAUCCCUAAAAGCCGCCCCAGUUCGGAUUGCAGGCUGAAACCCGCCUGCAUGAAGUCGGAAUUGCUAGUAAUCGCGGAUCAGCAUGCCGCGGUGAAUACGUUCCCGGGCCUUGUACACACCGCCCGU